CAGUCUUACAGCCACUCAGAGAGGGAGGCAGGAUAGGGGGCGGAGUUUUAGUGUUGAGAGGCCAAGCCCAGUGUCAGUCUCCUUUAAGCCUCGCCUCCCUCUGCGUGUGCAGAGCGCAUGCGUCCGAAGCUAGAAUCCGCGUUGGAGCGAUUUGUGGAUGUGCUGGGUGUUUCUGCUCCACGCCAGAGUUUGCAAUACUGUGUAGGAUGCAGCUGCUGUAUUUGGGGUCCUCGGUGAGUAAAGGGACUGAGGCCCAGAGAGGCGGACUCACGCGCGCACAAAACUCACCAAUUAUUUGAAAGAUCUGGACUGCGUCCUCAAUUUUCCCGUCUCUCACUCUUCGCCACCGUUAAGGAGGGUAUUGAGGAAGGAAGAGGAGGAGGAGAGGCAGGAAGAGACUAAUCGUGGUCUCUGACGCUGAGCCUGUGCUACUAACCCAUACAGAUGAGAGGAGUGAGGCUCAAAGAGGUAAAGUCAUUCCUUCAGAGUCACACAGCCGGAGGUAGCAGAGCCAGGAUUUGAAACCUGAGCUGCCUGCCUAUGUAGCUCAUACAAGGAACCACUGCAUGGCACUGUCAUCUUUCUGGGGAGAUGGACCUCAGGAGGCUGGACUGAAGGUGGAGAUGCUGAUGAGGAGGCUGGUGCCUGGAGAGAGAAGAGACUCGGACUGGGGUGCUGGAGGUAGGGGUGCAGAGAAAUAGGCAGCUUUGUGAAGUUU